rnacentral:rRNA from 1 species
AUACGUAGGGAGCGAGCGUUGUCCGGAAUUACUGGGCGUAAAGGGCGCGUAGGCGGCGCUUCAAGUCGUCUGUCAAAUGGGAGGGCUUAACCCUUUUUCGCAGACGAAACUGGAGAGCUUGAGAAGCAGAGAGGCAAACAGAAUUCCUGGUGUAGCGGUGAAAUGCGUAGAUAUCAGGAAGAAUACCAGUGGCGAAGGCGGUUGGCUGGGUGCAUACUGACGCUGAAGCGCGAAAGCCAGGGGAGCAAACGGGAGUAGAUUCCCCGGUAGUCCUGGCAGUAAACGAUGUAUGCUGGGUGUGAGACUAGCGAUAGUUUCGUGCCGAAGUUAACGCGAUAAGCAUACCGCCUGGGGAGUACGGUCGCAAGAUUGAAACUUAAAGGAAUUGACGGGG